AUUAAUACAAAAAUUAUAGGUGCCCGUUUAGGGAGAAUAGGGAAUGGAGUGAAAAUCUCCAGCGGACCCGCCACUGUGAAGGUGAGCCUUAAACAUGAUGCCACUGGAUAUUAAUCUGGGAAGGCGUUUAAAGGUGUUGAACCUGAGCCAGGAGACCUGCCUAUAAUUUACAUAAAAC
rnacentral:ncRNA from 2 species